UACGUAGGGUGCAAGCGUUAAUCGGAAUUACUGGGCGUAAAGCGUGCGCAGGCGGUUUUGUAAGACUGUCGUGAAAUCCCCGGGCUCAACCUGGGACCUGCAUUUGUGACUGCAUCGCUAGAGUACGGCAGAGGGGGGUGGAAUUCCGCGUGUAGCAGUGAAAUGCGUAGAUAUGCGGAGGAACACCGAUGGCGAAGGCAAUCCCCUGGGCCUGUACUGACGCUCAUGCACGAAAGCGUGGGGAGCAAACAGG
rnacentral:rRNA from 1 species